rnacentral:pre_miRNA from 1 species
GCUAGGCAAGAUGUUGGCAUAGCUGAAUGACACCAAAAGUUCUGAAAGGGAUUAAUCGCUCAGCUUCGCCACAUGUUGCCACGCG